GUCUGAAGAGUAGUCAUGCAAGAGUGUAGGGAAGCCAACAAGAUACAAGUGAAAUAGACCGUGGGAGGGCUUGUGAGCCUCAUUAAGAUGCUGAAAUGUAACUUGAGGGCAAUAAGAAAACUGUUGAGGAAUUUGCCACAGGAAUGAAACACUGAUAUUUUAGGAAAAUUAUAGUGAUGGCCACUGGAGGAUGGAUUAGAGAGGAUGAGUCUGUUGGCUGGAAGACCAACUGGAACAUAUUGCCCUGGCUUCUGAUUUCAUGACAAAUUGGCAUGGUAAUACUUAAUACUUAACAGUUGCAGAAAAAUAGAAAGAUCUAAAUGGAGGACUUACAAAAUAUGGAGCUCUUAAAUAACGGACUUGAAAUUGAGAAUUAUUACAAGCCAUUAAUCAUUAUAGAUCUCCCCGGAAAUGAA
rnacentral:lncRNA from 1 species